rnacentral:rRNA from 1 species
GCCGUAGGGCGCGAGCGUUGUCCGGAUUUAUUGGGCGUAAAGAGCUCGUAGGCGGCUUGUCGCGUCGUCCGUGAAAACUUGGGGCUCAACCCCAAGCUUGCGGUCGAUACGGGCAGGCUCGAGUUCGGUAGGGGAGACUGGAAUUCCUGGUGUAGCGGUGAAAUGCGCAGAUAUCAGGAGGAACACCGGUGGCGAAGGCGGGUCUCUGGGCCGAUACUGACGCUGAGGAGCGAAAGCGUGGGGAGCGAACAGG